UACGUAGGGUGCAGGCGUUAAUCGGAAUUACUGGGCGUAAAGCGUGCGCAGGCGGUUUUGCAAGCCGGAUGUGAAAUCCCCGGGCUCAACCUGGGAAUGGCAUUUGGGACUGCAAGGCUCGAGUGCGGCAGAGGAGACUGGAAUUCCUGGUGUAGCAGUGAAAUGCGCAGAUAUCAGGAGGAACACCGGUGGCGAAGGCGGGUCUCUGGGCCGUAACUGACGCUGAGGAGCGAAAGCGUGGGGAGCGAACAGG
rnacentral:rRNA from 1 species